UAAUAGCCAAAUGCUUAACCACUGUGCCACCAGGGCUCCUUUAAUAGGGAGAAGGAGAAAAAGGGAGAAAAUUGGGAUUCCAAAGGGCAUAGGCAUGCAGUGACUCACGUGUUUCUGGGGUGUACACUAUGUACCUGUGGUGGUGGCAGAGGUUUCCUGUUUUCUCUCUUGACACAGAUUUUACAGAGUUUAUUCCGUUGCUGAAUAAAGUAUUAUUUGCACAUAGUAUAUGAUGUGCAAAUAAUACAUUAUUCUGCAAUGCUAGAUUAUUCAGAAGGUGAGAUUCUGGACUUGGCGUUGAUUGAAGACUUUUGGAAUGCAGCAGUAGAUAACUGCCACAACUCUGUCAGUGACACACUGACUUUCCUGCCAGGAAGCAGAGGAACUAUGACAACUCCCUCCUCCAACACUGAUCGUGCCAUGGACUACAUCUGGACUCCACCUAAUUCAACUCUGCCCAGGACUCUCACUCCUUUCAGACCCUGAUGCACAAAGAAGUAAACUAACUUGCCCAAGGUAACUGAGCUAGAAAGCAGCCGAGCUACGAUGAGCCCAGCUCCCAGGCCUUCCAGCCUCCUGCAUCUGCACAGGCUCAAGGCUGCGGAGGAAGAGAGCGACUGAUCAGGCAAAUAUUGGAGCUCUAUAAAAACAAGUCAACGGUGAGUCUGGGGAGAUCCUUCUUAUUUGAGGACACCCAGUCAUGUGCUGCUGUGGACAUUCCCUCAGGCAGUGAGUGUGCCAAGAUAUCAGCUGAUUGCUCCCAAAAGGAGUGGAGUGUCCAAGGUUCCCAAAGAAGCAAGAACAUCCCGUCUUUUCACACGUGCUUUAUUAGCCAACCAAGCCUGAAGUUUCAGCAAACACCUUGGAGCGCCUGUGGCACCCCCUUCUCUCCUCAUGUUACAAACACUCAGCUCUGGAGGCUUCUGGAAGGGAACAAGCAGGUCAAUGAAUGACAUUGGCACACCCAGCCUGUCUUUGCUGCAAAGGUAGCUUGAAAUCAACCAAAUGUGUGAUUAGUGAUGUAAAACAAAAGGAAUCCUUUUUGAAAACAAAAGCACAUUGAUGUGAUAUCGACCUUUUCUUUUGGAAUCACGUACAGUAAAUGCCAAAGACAUUCCAAACUGGGCAUGGGACCAAAAAAAGAAAAAAAGAAGGCCAAGUAUCUGUGCAUGCAAAAUAAGAUUAUUUAGGACUCAGUGUAUUUGUACUGGAGAAAGCAAGCAAUGGGGACAGAUGAGAUCCUUUCUUGUGGUCUAAAACGACCUGGGCUGGCAAGUAGAAAACAACUGUCCUUUCAUCUGGAAGACUACCCCAAACCUUGUGGUUCAACUUCUUUCUCCAGAAGUGCUUGAUUUCCUGUCUUAAAAUGACUUGAACUACACAGUCUGAAUAUUCUUUUUCAGUACCAGAGAGUAUAAGAUGCCCUGGGAUUGCAGGCAAAACGGGUCUCUAAGAACAUAAAAACCUGCCCACCAGGUGGAGGCAGCUAUUCUUCUAUGACCCUACACAUGCUUACAGGCCACAGAUAUAAAUCCAUCAGGGUCACAUAUAAGAAAUGAUUUAACUUUGCUUAAACUGUUUUCAAUUAAGGUACUUGCCACUCAAUGUUUUGCUAGCCAAUGAAAAAUUUCAAACCAAAAAAAAGUAGAAAGAAUUAUACAACAUCCAUAAACUCACUACAGAUUCCAGAAUUAACAUUUUAUUAUGAUUUGUUUUAUCACAUUUCUACCCAUCUAUCCAUCUCUCUAUUCAUCCAUCUAUCCAUAUACAGGAUAUACACACAUAUAUAUGUAUAUAUAUAAUUUUUUCUAUUUAAAUUUUAAUAUAAGGAAAGUCAGUGAAAGCUUCUGAGCUGGGGUGUAAUAUGAUCGAUCUGCAUUUUCAAACACUCACUCUGUUAGCUGCUUGAAACGUGAAUUGAAGGAGGGUAAAUGUGAAGCAGGAAGCAUAGUUAGGAGGCUCUGCAGAAAAGUCCAGAGAUGUGCAGAGAGUCUAGAAUUGGAGAGACCCAGGUUUGGCCCCUUGCUGUCACUUUUUAGCUGUGUGACCUUGGGCAAGUCACUUAACCUCAGUUUCUUCAUCUAUAAAAAAUGGCUUGAUGACUAUAGUCAUCUCAAAGCGUUGUUGUAAGAAUUAUAUGAAAUUAAUGCAUGAGAAAUAAUUAGUAGUAUACCUGUGAUCCAUAGUAGCUAGGUACAAUAAGUGAAACAGUAAUAAUUAAAAAAAAAAAAA